rnacentral:rRNA from 1 species
UACGAAGGGGGCUAGCGUUGCUCGGAAUCACUGGGCGUAAAGCGCACGUAGGCGGUUUGUUAUGUCGGAUGUGAAAGCCCUUGGCUCAACUGAGGAAGUGCAUCCGAAACUGGCAAGCUAGAGUAUGUAAGAGGGUCGCGGAAUUCCCGGUGUAGAGGUGAAAUUCGUAGAUAUCGGGAGGAACACCGGUGGCGAAGGCGGCGACCUGGGACAAUACUGACGCUGAGGUGCGAAAGCGUGGGGAGCAAACAGG